UUGUCGUCUAGGUAUUUUGGUAGCUAUUAUUGUGAUUAUUAUUGAUGAUUGACAAUUUAAUAAGAGCGAGAAUUUUGUUCCUUGUGUCUUUGAGUGCUCUUGGGAUUGCAAUAUAUGUUUAUGCAAGUUUCUUGACUAGCUAACUUGCUGCAGUACAAUCAUGCUGUUCAAUCUUCUUUGGAAUUUCAUGUCUAAUUGUCUGAGUAAUGCUAAUGACCACAGUUUUCUGUGCUCAUUUGCUUUGAGCACUUCUGGUAGCCAUGUCUCUAUAUGUUGAUAAGCAGCCAUGGAUGUCAGAAAAGCCUGUAAUAUUUUGGUUCAUUUUAAAACAGAAGUUUUUGACUUACCAAAGUUGCAUACUUAUCAUUAAACUGAUCUCGUUGGUAUGUGCUGCAGGUUCCUGAGACCCUGCCAG
rnacentral:misc_RNA from 1 species